AGUGAACGCUGGCGGUAGGCCUAACACAUGCAAGUCGAACGGCAGCACAGUAAGAGCUUGCUCUUACGGGUGGCGAGUGGCGGACGGGUGAGGAAUACAUCGGAAUCUACUUUUUCGUGGGGGGUAACGUAGGGAAACUUACGCUAAUACCGCAUACGACCUACGGGUGAAAGCAGGGGAUCUUCGGACCUUGCGCGAUUGAAUGAGCCGAUGUCGGAUUAGCUAGUUGGCGGGGUAAAGGCCCACCAAGGCGACGAUCCGUAGCUGGUCUGAGAGGAUGAUCAGCCACACUGGAACUGAGACACGGUCCAGACUCCUACGGGAGGCAGCAGUGGGGAAUAUUGGACAAUGGGCGAAAGCCUGAUCCAGCAAUACCGCGUGGGUGAAGAAGGCCUUCGGGUUGUAAAGCCCUUUUGUUGGGAAAGAAAAGCAGCAGGUUAAUACCCCGCUGUUCUGACGGUACCCAAAGAAUAAGCACCGGCUAACUUCGUG
rnacentral:rRNA from 1 species